rnacentral:lncRNA from 1 species
CCUAUUCCCUUGGCUCCAGCAGGGGAAAAGGAAAACAUCUGUGGUGCCAUAUUCACGGAUGGACUUAUUGGAAUUAGGGAAUACAGCUUUCCCAGGAUGACCACCUGCCGCAGCCCAUGCUCCCAGUCACACAACUGGGGAACAGCCAUUCCUCUGCCACCCUGACCCAGUCGUCACUGCAGAUGCAGGUGAACUUUGUACUAGGAAGAGGGAAAAAGCUGCCAGGCCACUCAGCAGUGCAAUCUGAGCUUGUCGCUGGUGAAGCCUGAACCAACAUUAUGUUUGCCAGCUCUACGCCCAGAUCUUCAGAGGUUACCAUGCCUACCUUGAAUGCUGUUUCACUGAAUCUCUGUUCUAUCUGCUGCAAGGAAAACAUUUAUCUAGAUAAGUUACUAGAAAGCAAGCAAGCAACAGGAAUGAAUUCUUCCAGUUGUACCAAAAGCCCUUCCGGAAUAAAGAGCCCCAGAUAA